UUCUCUGCACUCUGGACUUAGAAAUCCUGCUGCUUCUUGACCUUUGCUGAUGGUCUCACCCAGACUCAGAUGAACACGCCCACAUGGAGUUCCUGAUGUUCCCUACAGCUUGCUCCUGCCAGUCUUCCUCACUUCCCUCAGGUGGCAUGGAAGCUCCAGGAGGGCAGGGCCAUGUCACAUUCCCUGCUGAAUGCUGGCCUGGCUGGAAGCAGUGCCUGGCACAUGGUUGGAGAUUUGCCCUGCUGGAGGACUCUGCAUUCCUCUGGGGGAGCAGUGUCCCAACAAAGGCACCUCCCCAACUCAAGGACCAUUGUGGCCACCACUGAAUCAGCAUGGAGGCUGCUGCCAUCUGGGCUCUGUUUGGACUGAGUGGC